rnacentral:tRNA from 19 species
GGAGAGAUGUCCGAGUGGUUGAAGGAGCACGCCUGGAAAGCGUGUGUACGUUAAUAGCGUACCGAGGGUUCGAAUCCCUCUCUCUCCGCCA